rnacentral:rRNA from 2 species
UACGUAGGGCGCAAGCGUUGUCCGGAAUUAUUGGGCGUAAAGAGCUUGUAGGCGGUUUGUCACGUCGGGAGUGAAAACUCAGGGCUCAACCCUGAGCCUGCUUCCGAUACGGGCAGACUUGAGGAAGGUAGGGGAGAAUGGAAUUCCUGGUGAAGCGGUGGAAUGCGUAGAUAUCAGGAGGAACACCAGUGGCGAAGGCGGUUCUCUGGACCUUUCCUGACGCUGAGAAGCGAAAGCGUGGGGAGCAAACAGG